rnacentral:misc_RNA from 1 species
AAGUCGUAACAAGGUUUCCGUAGGUGAACCUGCGGAAGGAUCAUUACCGAGAGGCGGACCACGCACAAAGUGUGGUGUACGCGCCGCACUCUUAUCGCCCGUCGUUCGCGACGCAGAGCGAAGCGAGAAACGUUGCUCGACACGUUGCUCGACGUACAGAGAGCGAGACUUGGCUCGAGUCCAGCUCUCAACGGCAGAGGCAGAAAGUCGAUUUCGAAGUCGUCGCGCGCCAAGUAUUUUGGCGCGCAGUGCACGAGCGCCGUUACGAUGCAGCCCUGCGUUGUUGGCCUCGCACGCAACGACCAUCUGUUGUGAUGUCCUCCCCAUUUUUCACGGACACAACACUCAGAUGCGAGAUACUCGUUAACAGAACUGAUUGUGAGAAUACAUUGAAACGACCGUAAGCGGUGGAUCACUCGGCUC